rnacentral:rRNA from 1 species
UACGGAGGGUGCGAGCGUUGUCCGGAAUCACUGGGCGUAAAGGGCGCGUAGGCGGUCUGCUAAGCGUGCGGUGAAAGCCUGGGGCUCAACCCCAGGUCUGCCGUGCGAACUGGUGGACUCGAGCACUGUAGAGGCAGGUGGAAUUCCGGGUGUAGCGGUGGAAUGCGUAGAGAUCCGGAAGAACACCGGUGGCGAAGGCGGUUGAGCUGGGCAGUUGCUGGACACUGAGCGCGACGAGCGUGGGAGCAACAGGGA